CUUAACACAUGCAAGUCGAGGGGCAGCAUGGUCUUAGCUUGCUAAGGCCGAUGGCGACCGGCGCACGGGUGAGUAACGCGUAUCCAACCUGCCUUACACUCUUGGACAGCCUUCUGAAAGGGAGAUUAAUACAAGAUGUUAUCAUGAGUAAGCAUUUUCGCAUGAUUAAAGGUUUACCGGUGUAAGAUGGGGAUGCGUUCCAUUAGAUAGUAGGCGGGGUAACGGCCCACCUAGUCUUCGAUGGAUAGGGGUUCUGAGAGGAAGGUCCCCCACAUUGGAACUGAGACACGGUCCAAACUCCUACGGGAGGCAGCAGUGAGGAAUAUUGGUCAAUGGACGAGAGUCUGAACCAGCCAAGUAGCGUGAAGGAUGAAGGUUCUAUGGAUUGUAAACUUCUUUUAUACGGGAAUAAACGGAUCCACGUGUGGAUUUUUGCAUGUACCGUAUGAAUAAGGAUCGGCUAACUCCGUGCCAGCAGCCGCGGUAAUACGGAGGAUCCGAGCGUUAUCCGGAUUUAUUGGGUUUAAAGGGAGCGUAGAUGGGUUGUUAAGUCAGUUGUGAAAGUUUGCGGCUCAACCGUAAAAUUGCAAUUGAUACUGGCAGUCUUGAGUACAGUUGAGGUAGGCGGAAUUCGUGGUGUAGCGGUGAAAUGCUUAGAUAUCACGAAGAACUCCGAUUGCGAAGGCAGCUUACUAACCUGUAACUGACAUUGAUGCUCGAAAGUGUGGGUAUCAAACAGGAUUAGAUACCCUGGUAGUCCACACGGUAAACGAUGAAUACUCGCUGUAGGCGAUAUACAGUCUGCGGCCAAGCGAAAGCAUUAAGUAUUCCACCUGGGGAGUACGCCGGCAACGGUGAAACUCAAAGGAAUUGACGGGGGCCCGCACAAGCGGAGGAACAUGUGGUUUAAUUCGAUGAUACGCGAGGAACCUUACCCGGGCUUAAAUUGCAACCGAAUAUGGCGGAAACGCUAUAGCUAGCAAUAGCGGUUGUGAAGGUGCUGCAUGGUUGUCGUCAGCUCGUGCCGUGAGGUGUCGGCUUAAGUGCCAUAACGAGCGCAACCCUUGCCGAUAGUUACUAACAGGUCAUGCUGAGGACUCUGUCGGGACUGCCAUCGUAAGAUGUGAGGAAGGUGGGGAUGACGUCAAAUCAGCACGGCCCUUACGUCCGGGGCUACACACGUGUUACAAUGGGGGGUACAGAGGGCUGCUACCACGCAAGUGGAUGCCAAUCCCAAAAACCUCUCUCAGUUCGGAUUGAAGUCUGCAACCCGACUUCAUGAAGCUGGAUUCGCUAGUAAUCGCGCAUCAGCCACGGCGCGGUGAAUACGUUCCCGGGCCUUGUACACACCGCCCGUCAAGCCAUGGGAGCCGGGGGUACCUGAAGUGCGUAACCGCAAGGAGCGCCCUAGGGUAAAACUGGUGACUGGGGC
rnacentral:rRNA from 1 species